GGGCUUGUGGUUUAGUGGUAUAAUACUCCCUUAGCAUGGGAGUGGUCCGGGUGAGCAUAGGAUUCACCAAAAAUAUAUUGAAUAUCAACUAAUAAAUCACCCAGGGUUCGAUUCCCCGCGAGUCCA